rnacentral:rRNA from 1 species
UAGUCCACGCUGUAAACGAUGAGUGCUAGCUAUUGGAUUUAUUUUCAGUGGUACAGCUAACGCGUUAAGCACUCCGCCUGGGGAGUACGGCCGCAAGGUUAAAACUCAAAGGAAUUGACGGGGACCCGCACAAGCGGUGGAGCAUGUGGUUUAAUUCGAUGCAACGCGAAGAACCUUACCACCUUUUGACAUCUAGAUCGCGAGGACCAGAGAUGGACCUUUUCAGUUAGGCUGGAUCUAUGACGGGUGUUGCAUGGCUGUCGUCAGCUCGUGUCGUGAGAUGUUGGGUUAAGUCCCGCAACGAGCGCAACCCUCACCCUUAUUUGCCAGCACGUUAUGGUGGGAACUAUAGGGGGACUGCUCGUGAUAAGCGAGAGGAAGGUGGGGAUGACGUCAAGUCAUCAUGGCUCUUACGUGGUGGGCUACACACGUGCUACAAUGGCGCUAACAAUGGGUUAAUCCCCAAAAGGCGUCUCAGUUCGGAUUGUCUUCUGCAA